rnacentral:rRNA from 1 species
UACGUAGGGGGCGAGCGUUGUCCGGAAUCAUUGGGCGUAAAGAGCUCGUAGGCGGUUCAGUAAGUCGGCUGUGAAAUUCCGAGGCUCAACCUCGGAACUGCAGUCGAUACUAUUGUGACUAGAGUCCGGUAGAGGAGAAUGGAAUUCCCGGUGUAGCGGUGAAAUGCGCAGAUAUCGGGAGGAACACCAGUAGCGAAGGCGGUUCUCUGGGCCGGUACUGACGCUGAGGAGCGAAAGCGUGGGGAGCAAACGGG